UGACUGCGUACCUUUUGUAUAAUGGGUCAGCGACUUAUAUUCUGUAGCAAGGUUAACCGAAUAGGGGAGCCGGAGGGAAACCGAGUCUUAAUUGGGCGUUAAGUUGCAGGGUAUAGACCCGAAACCCGGUGAUCUAGCCAUGGGCAGGUUGAAGGUUGGGUAACACUAACUGGAGGACCGAACCGACUAAUGUUGAAAAAUUAGCGGAUGACCUGUGGCUGGGGGUGAAAGGCCAAUCAAACCGGGAGAUAGCUGGUUCUCCCCGAAAGCUAUUUAGGUAGCGCCUCGUGAAUUCAUCUCCGGGGGUAGAGCACUGUUUCGGCUAGGGGGCCAUCCCGGCUUACCAACCCGAUGCAAACUGCGAAUACCGGAGAAUGUUAUCACGGGAGACACACGGCGGGUGCUAACGUCCGUCGUGAAGAGGGAAACAACCCAGACCGCCAGCUAAGGUCCCAAAGUCAUGGUUAAGUGGGAAACGAUGUGGGAAGGCCCAGACAGCCAGGAUGUUGGCUUAGAAGCAGCCAUCAUUUAAAGAAAGCGUAAUAGCUCACUGGUCGAGUCGGCCUGCGCGGAAGAUGUAACGGGGCUAAACCAUGCACCGAAGCUGCGGCAGCGACACUGUGUGUUGUUGGGUAGGGGAGCGUUCUGUAAGCCUGUGAAGGUGGCCUGUGAGGGUUGCUGGAGGUAUCAGAAGUGCGAAUGCUGACAUAAGUAACGAUAAAGCGGGUGAAAAGCCCGCUCGCCGGAAGACCAAGGGUUCCUGUCCAACGUUAAUCGGGGCAGGGUGAGUCGACCCCUAAGGCGAGGCCGAAAGGCGUAGUCGAUGGGAAACAGGUUAAUAUUCCUGUACUUGGUGUUACUGCGAAGGGGGGACGGAGAAGGCUAUGUUGGCCGGGCGACGGUUGUCCCGGUUUAAGCGUGUAGGUGUGUGUUCCAGGUAAAUCCGGUUCACUUUAACACUGAGGCGUGAUGACGAGGCACUACGGUGCUGAAGCAACAAAUGCCCUGCUUCCAGGAAAAGCCUCUAAGCAUCAGGUAACAUCAAAUCGUACCCCAAACCGACACAGGUGGUCAGGUAGAGAAUACCAAGGCGCUUGAGAGAACUCGGGUGAAGGAACUAGGCAAAAUGGUGCCGUAACUUCGGGAGAAGGCACGCUGACACGUAGGUGAAGUGAUUUACUCAUGGAGCUGAAGUCAGUCGAAGAUACCAGCUGGCUGCAACUGUUUAUUAAAAACACAGCACUGUGCAAACACGAAAGUGGACGUAUACGGUGUGACGCCUGCCCGGUGCCGGAAGGUUAAUUGAUGGGGUCAGCGCAAGCGAAGCUCCUGAUCGAAGCCCCGGUAAACGGCGGCCGUAACUAUAACGGUCCUAAGGUAGCGAAAUUCCUUGUCGGGUAAGUUCCGACCUGCACGAAUGGCGUAAUGAUGGCCAGGCUGUCUCCACCCGAGACUCAGUGAAAUUGAACUCGCUGUGAAGAUGCAGUGUACCCGCGGCAAGACGGAAAGACCCCGUGAACCUUUACUAUAGCUUGACACUGAACAUUGAGCCUUGAUGUGUAG
rnacentral:rRNA from 1 species